ACUGGAGAUCCAAUCCAUAUCUCCAAAUUUCAUGCCUGCAGCCACCAUCUGUGAUUCUGCCAGGAGGAUGGCUGAGAGGCUGAAAAUGAACACAUGGCCAAAAAGCCUACGGGAUAACACAGACAAGUCCCCACGGAAAAGUGACUUCCAGCUCUGCACAAUUUCUUCAGAGAAGAGCUGGUAUCCCCUAAGGCACUACCAAAUAUGAAGGAGGGGACACCCCUGAAGACAUUUGAUUUUAAUUAGGUCAUCUUUUGCUGAUAACUAUCCUAUGUGUGGGCUACAAGGGUCCUCAGCGUUUGGUUUGGGUACCAUUAUCAGCUGUGGCAGCUCCCGUGCCGAGCAUGGACGUGGCUUCUGUGUAGUGAAGCACAGUCACUGUUCCUGAGGCCGUGAGGACCCACACUUGGGCACACAAAGUUUGAGAGUCACCUACCUAAAGACAAACAAGGUGUUUCAGCAGUUUGACAUAAUUAAGAUUUCAGAUGCGAGGGCUCAGAAGAAGGAAGUUCUGCUCUCCUCAUCUCUGUACAAACAUCUGUUGUUCAGAUCCCUCAUCUUAUAUUCCAGGUGCUAAAUCCAACCCACCUUUAUGAUUUCUAGAACAACUUUAUCCUGAGGCACUUGGCACAGAGGCAAUGUCUGAAAAAGGCUGCACUGAAAAGUAGCGCGUGUGUGUGUGUGUACAGAUAUGCUAGACAAGUCACCUUCAGAUGGUCUUUCCUCAAUCAUGAGCUCAUCCAGUCUGCCUGUAUGAUAAAUUUGACCUUUAAGUUGCAGUCUUGAAAAGCUGAACAUUUGUUAACAGAGGACCGUUGACUGCAAUGGAAAAGAAACAGAUUACAGACCAGAGAAGUAUCAGAGGUAAUUGAAUUGCAUCUGGCAAUACUGCAAGAGGGCAGACAGCUUGGCAUAUUCUGAAAAUGGUUGUUCAAGGCUGCAUCUAGGAUGUAUAAAGCUACUUCACAAUAUCCGUUUCUCACAGAAAGACUCAGAAGAGCAUGGACCAAGAGAGACACUUUGAAAAGGAGAGAGGCAUUCAUUUCCCCCCACCCUGCUUGGAGUGCAGCAGCUUGCUCUGAAGUGGUGUGCUCAUGUCACUCCGAGCAGCCCUUCCUGGGCCACAGACUACUUGUACGUACUCUCAGCUCCACGUCUCCUGACCUUAGCAGACCUUUGGAUAUUGCAAACAGUUCAUAUGGGCUGUAAACUUGCUAGGCUACGUGCAGCAGUAUUUAAGGUUUAGCCUAUAUUAGAAAAAGGUGGCUGCUGUAGCUAGAUCAGCAAACCCUUCGAACACAGACAUAGCUUGUAGCAGCAAAAAAAAAAAAAAAAAAAAAGGCUUCUUGCCAGCAGAGCUGGAAUGAAAUGAGUCGUACUGGCAAAGAGCUCUUGCCAGAUAACUGUGUCUAUGCUCAGAUUCUUGCUUGUAUAAAAACACCAUUAAAAAUAAUCAUACCCACAACUGACAUUACUGUCCCCACAAACAUUUUAAUAUCUGGCCUUAGAAAACCGGCGUGUGCGCAAAAGACUCCUUUCCAAAGAAAGGCUCAUGGAGAUCAAGAGGCACAUUUCUGGUACACUGGUAACUUUGGACUUGGAGAGGCAAGACAAAGAGAGGAGGCAUGAGUGGUUCAGAUACUCCAUGACAACAUAUUACUUAAAAGGUAGCAUUUUAUUAGGCCUUUUUCACCUACUCUGUUGUGUGCCAUUCCUGUAUUCUCUCAUAUCCUGCAAUUUCCCCUACACAUACAAAAAAAGUUCACUCUCGGGCAUAGCUGGUGAGCUGGGUAAGGUGGGAAGAGGUCCCCCUCAAACGCACAUUUGUGAGGGAGAACCAAACCACAAGGCGCUCCCACUAACAGCAACACCAUGUCGUCUUCCCUAGGGCCCUUUCUGAAGACAAAGCUUUUGUGAGAUACAGUGAGGAAAUCGUGGAAAAGCAAAGAAUCUCAGGCAGGAGCUUUAAGAUGGUAGCAAUGAAGCGACAGGCUCUCAGGCAAGUCCCCCAAGACCUUGCAACUCAGGGCACUUCCUGCAAACAGAUUAUCAUCCGCCUGUUCUCUCAUGAACAAUGCAGUGAAAUGGGUCCUAGCUAAAACAAGCUAGAGGAAAAAGAAGUAAAAAUAUAUAUUUAUAUGUGUUAGCUAUUCCAAGAUAAUUUCUCCCAGAACCGCUUUUACUCUGUGGUAAGCGAGUUUGCACUGAGCCUUUCAGGAAAGCAAGGUGGCUCACCUUACCUUGACUGCAGCGUGAGCACAGCUUGAUUGCAAAGUGAAGCCCUCCGUAUAUAUCCACACCUGAGCUCCCUACGGGCUUCCUAUUGUUCUUCUAGCUACUGUCUUAGAAACAGAUGCUUCUGAGCAGACACUUGAAGGUAGCUGCCUUCCUCAGGAAGAAACUUCAGGAUGUCCCAAGUCUGAAAGCCACGGUAAUUUCAUAACUGUGCAGGCGCGGUGGUGUUCUUGACUUACACUACAACAUAAGACUCUAUGAGGCUAAUGAAAGUGAACAGCAAAAAUUUCUGUAUAAAUGGGACAGCAUUAUCAUACAUUUUGCUUAGUGUACGAACACCAAAGUUGAUAUAACCCAGUUUGCUAUUCCAAGAGAACAGCUAGAGAAGGGACAAUGAUGAUGGGUUUCAUUUAAUGAAUAAAAAGGCUAGGUAUUUUUUAAUUUCAGUAUUUUUAUGAAUUGCUUUCUAAAUACUGACUUUUCUCCAAGACAUUCAUUCAUAAACUAGUUAAUGGUGUACAAGCCUGGAUAGCCUUAAAUAUGAGGCACCUAUAGUGAUUUUAAAAUAAAAUGCUGAUCGAAUAGGAAUUUUCUAUCUGAAGAGAUGUUUUGGAACUGCAUAGGAAGGAUGGUCACAAAGUGGAGCUACUACACCAGAGUUUAUCUGCACCUCUGUGGUGGUCAGGGAGGUACCAAGAGUUAUUACCUUUGGUGAUCGUUCACCAACAUUUCCUGGGGCGGCUUCUUCAGGACCUGGGCAUGGAAAUACAAACCUGCAGGUCUGCACAAAACACCUUGCAAGCUCAGUCCUGCUCAUGCUGCAGGUUCCUCAAAGGAUUUACUUGAGCACAUGACUGUGUCAGGACCUGUUGUUUCCAGAGAUACCGCAUACUUGGGUUUCACCUGAAUUUACUCUUAACAAGUGCCACAAGAGUUUAAAAAGCUGAAGACACAUAGCUUGCGCCAUCAAAGCAAAAGGUUAAGUCAUUAUUCUGGUGCUGAAAAUGAACUUACAAACUCAGGAAGCCGAAACAACUAAUGCAACGUGACACCAGACCCAUCAUUCACAGCUGAGGCUUAGGAAAGAUGGCCCUCAGCCUCCCUGUGUGGGAAAGCUUCAGGAGCAGCAUCAGUGCUCUCUGCCUCAUUCUACUCAUAUUUUAAAAAGAUCUGCCUUUCUUUUGUCCAUCUGGUGCAUUUUGAGCAUGAGCUCUUCGAUGCUGAGGCCGCUGUUACACCGUACGGAUGGAUGUACAUGGCCCAGGAGACCCAGCCUCUGACUUUUGUUGGAGCCUCUAAACACUGCUAAAGGACGGAUGAAGGCCUAUGAAUAACACAUGGCCCCAUUUCAUUCAGGCCAAGCCCACGAAAACACGAGAUGUUGCUUUAAAUUCAGUUUCCCCUCCGGGGGAGGAAGCACAAAAAGAAAAAGUUGCUCUUAAGUUAGUUACUCAUUAGGAGCUGCACGGAGCUAUAAGGAAACAGGAUGAUGAAAGAGCUCUCACCGCAUUUGGCCUCCCAUUACAGCACCAGGCAGGUAAGCGGCUGACCUUCGCCAGGAGAAGUCAAAGUCCUCAAACGAACUCACCGUGCAGUGAUUUGCUGCCGCACUGCUCAGCCCCCGGUUAGCAGAAAAUGUCUGCUUAAGUGCUCCCUCGUGCUCGGACUUGCCAUUUAGGGCAGCACGACCGUGUUGUUGCACUGGGAUUUUGGCUAGGGGAGGUUUCUGAGCGAAUUAUUGCUUGAGCGCAAGAAAGGCAGAAGCUUAAACCCAAUCCUUGGUCAGCAAGGCCAGGUCUCCAGGCUGGGAAGCUGAGGUCGGUGGUAACACAGGGACAGAGGAAGAAGGGGGUAAAAACACCGAGGUUCCUGUUACGUGGAAAUUGAAAAGAUUUCUAUGGGAUUUCUUGCAUUUCUACUAUUCCCUCCCUCCCUUUUAACAUAUUGGUACUUUUAUAUCUGCA